rfam:TPA: Bos taurus chromosome 19, whole genome shotgun sequence.
UCCUUGGUGGUCCAGUGUCUGAGACUCUGCACUCCCAAUGCAGGGGACCCAGGUUCAAUACCUGGUCAGGGAA